rnacentral:lncRNA from 1 species
UUUUUUUGUGGAAAUUUUAGUAUCGGAAUUAAGUAAUAUAUUUUAAAAAUUUUAUUAUUGUUCUUUUAAUGUGAUUUUCUGCAAUUUCGCAUUAUUCUGACAUUGAAAGGAUUAUGAGAAUAACGACUUUUGUCAUCUAUUCCAUUAUCUAUCGUCGUACUUUCCUAGAAAAAUGAGAAUAAGUCGUAUCGCUUCGGACGUUAAUUAAUGCCUAUUAUCGAUCGGUUAUGGGGUCUAAAAUCUAUAAAUAUAUGUGCGGUAGAGUUCUCUUAAGAUAGCAACAUUAAAAUCCUCUUCGAUUAAGGAAGAGAAGGUAAAAAAAAAAGAAAAAAAAACGGCGUGGUUUCGGGAUGAAUCAGUUGCGACGGUUGUAAUGUUUAAUCAAGACGAUUAUAGUUUGUAGAGAAGAUGGACAACCCCAGAAAGAUUUGCAGGAAUGCCGAAUUUCUGCAGCGAGUAACAAAAACGUUUAAGGCGAUUAAACAGCGUCGUUAAUGUCCCUGUUCGCCUAGAAGUCUCACCUGCGACUGUGGAUUGCAAAGAAGUCGGAGCCGUGACGCCAAUAAUUACAUUCGAGGUUUUGUCGGGAUGAAUAUGGGGGACGAAGGGAGAGAGAUAGUCAGUGCGAGGAAACAAAAGUUGUAGCGAGAAAUAUGCAGUCGUGAGAAUUACAACCAUCGCGAGCAAUAUUAUAGACCCGGCAGCGACCUACCCUCGCAACAAUGUAAAGCUGUUACGUACCUCUCCGUAUGAGGAAUGGUGCGCACGUGUUUUUAAUUAAAUGGAUCCUCUGCAUUCUUGCCUCUGCACAUUCCGUCUCAAGUCGCCGAGGAUAUUGCAGUAAAGUAAAGAAACUAUGUUAUAGUGCAGUUUUAAACAUUUGUUGUGCCGCUAGUCUUAAAAGAGGACUUUAUGACACUUCGGUCGCAGAUGGUUUUCGGUCGUCUUAUUGGGACCGGUGUAAGAGUCGAGUCAGAUCAGCUACGGGCGAUUUAACACCAAAAGGACCCUUAGGGGUGGGUGGGAAAUAAAGGGGCAAUACCAGGACGAUGGUUAAUGAAAUUCUGUAAGCCAUGCACAUGACAAUAUAAUUCCUCAUUUUUCCGACUGAGCUCUUUUAAACGGAAUGAAAAACUGUGCAGCGGUGCAGAAACAUCGAGUUACCAGUUAACGGAAAUCUGGAAAACGUGUUUGUCUGUCAACCUCGACUUAGACAAUGAAGGUGAGAUACCUGGAGAAUUAGAUACGCGUUUCUAAUUUGGUCAUUUCGGGGAUAGGAUGACGGGUCAAAGCGAGCGCUUAUAAAAAAAAUAAAAAUAUAAAAAUGCAAAGGCAUCCGUGGCUGUUUACGUCUACAAAACUAUUAAGUAGAGCCCUUAAUAGUGUGUCACGGACUCAAAAAACUUUCGUUCUUAAACCGGCUCUCUUCUUUCACUUCUUCUUCUUCCAACAACUUUCUUUUUUUUUCGCAAUGUAAAUCGGUCGACAAUGUGGACAUUUAGGUGAAGGUUAGGCAGGAGAAUUCCAUCAGUGCUGUAGUAUAACGUUUGCUUACUAAUCAACCAUCUACACACUAAUGUGGUGCAUCCCGACCACAUCAAAGAAGAGUGUCCGCAAGGUUUAGUGCAAUUUCGUGAUUCGUUCCCCCCACCCUUUAUUGUCCUGUGUGUAGCUUAUUGUAGGUGGAACAUGUCAGGUGUUGCCCCGGGCCCUCAGUAACAAUAGGCUGCUCACUACCGACUUUUACCUGGGGCCAAGUCGUUAUGAAAACCUGAUGUAUUGGGUAAACGUGGAGACGGCUUGUUUUAAUCAUACUCGCUCCUCUCUCGCUCUCUCUCUCUCCGACGGCGGGCUGGGUUAGAAGAAGAAAGAAUAAAAAACUGCGGCGUUCUGGUAAUUAGAACACAACGGGCCAAACAGACCCAAUCCCCAGGGCAGAAUUAGAGAACAUUAGCUCUAGUAUCGGGCAGUGUGUCAGAGAUAUUUCCCUCGAGGUGGUCGCUUUUAUUGAUCGAAACUACCGAUGGCCGUCUACAAUGAUUGGGAGUCGGCAGUCUUCCUUUCCCUCCACCAGAAAAAAAAUAAAAUAAAAAAAGAUCCUCUCCCGUUUUGUGUGCGGCCUCAUUGCAAAUCAUUCUGACAUCUAAAGCGGGGGAGAUGGAGUGCGGCCGGGUAUAUAGCCUAAAACAAUUUAAACAGGUUUAACCAAACACUUCUGCCAGCGCCUUGCCACCUCUAAAAACCUUCGUUUUAAUAAGUGCGUUGCCUUUCUAAAGCGCACUAUCUGUCAAUCAUAGCUGUUCUUUUUUUCGCUUUCACUAGAAAUUCCUUUUCAACGCACGAGGUCAACCGAUUUCGUUUCAAACCAACCAUAAGGGAAGACCUACUUUUCCCAUUCUUCGCCAUGUGUGACGUUGUACCUAUAAACCCACUAUCAAUUGACAGUGGGAUAAAAUAAAAAAAUAAAAAAAAGAGGAGGAAUUCGUCAACAUCCGUCAUUCGUAGAUUAAAGUAAAAAAAAAAAAAGGAAAAUUAAAGAUAACAUUUAUUUAAUUAUCGUAACAACGUCCUCGCUACGUAUUCUAUGAAUACGUAGAGAGAGAGAGAGAGAGAGAGAGAGAGAGAGAGAGGACGUUAAUCUUUUAAAGACCCGCGUGUAAUUUAUA